UUCAUAUAUCUUUUAUGUGACACUUAUCCCUGUAUGAAAGAGUUAGAUAAAUGUUCUCAAUUAUACAUGCAAUGAUAGAUACUCAAUCUCAUAUUCUAUUCUAUAAUCAAUAUUGAUGAUUGUUAAUCCCUUCCCAGUGGUAAAAAUAUAAAUAAUGAUACCUGGAAUACUUCCCGGUUAAAAUGCUACAUCGGUAUUAAUCUGUGCGCUUGCAGAUCCCAUUCAUUAUUUAUUUAGAAGAGCAAUUGCAUAUUUCAAUACCGCGUCUCUCAUGUCAUGCUGGGGAUGACAACUUGGCUUAAGUGGUGUGAGGGAUAGGUUUGGUAUUUUUUUCACCGUUACUAGAAUUAGAAAAUUGUCUACUUUUGGUAAUGAUAUUAAGAAUACCCAACAGUCGUCCGAGUCAGCGUC
rnacentral:lncRNA from 1 species